AAAAGAUUAGUUAAAUUAUAACAUUAGCAUGUCAUACUAAAAUUAUUAAAUCAUUAUUAAUAUCUUUUA
rnacentral:tRNA from 1 species